GACGAACGCUGGCGGCGUGCCUAAUACAUGCAAGUCGAACGCAUUCUCUUUCACCGUAGCUUGCUACACCGAAAGAAAAUGAGUGGCGAACGGGUGAGUAACACGUGGGUAACCUCCCCAUCAGCGGCGGAUAACACUUUGAAACAGGUGCUAAUACCGCCUAAUUCCAUUUACCGCAUGGUAGAUGGGUUUACGCCGCUUUUGCGUCCGUUAUGGAUGGACCUGCGGUGCAUUAGAUAGUUGGUGGGGUAACGGGCUACCAAGGCUGCGAUGCAUAGCCGACCUGAGGAGGUGAUCGGCCAAACUGGGACUGAGACACGGCCCAGAAUCCUACGGGAGGCAGCAGUAGGGAAUCUUCGGCAAUGGACGGAAGUCUGACCGAAGAAAGCCGCGUGAGUGAAGAAGGUUUUCGGAUCGGAAAACUCUGUUGUUAGAGAAGAAAAAGGAUGAGAGUGGAAAGUUCAUCCCUUGACGGUAUCUAACGAGAAAGCCACGGCUAACUACGUG
rnacentral:rRNA from 1 species